GGGGUUGUGCCUGAAUUAAAGGAUUACUUUGAUAGAGUAAACUAUGAAGGUUAAACUCCUUCCAGCCCCU
rnacentral:tRNA from 1 species